CACAAGAUCUGCCUGCGUCCCAGCCUCGGGGGGGGGGGGGGGGGGGCCUCGGGGGGGGCACCAGGGCAGGGGCAGAGGAGAGCUGGCGCCCAGCCAGCUCCAGCCUGCAGCCACCGUGAGCACUCCCCCAUCCUGGGAGCCCACCAGCAGGGGACAACUCCUCUGUCCACAUGGGGAAGCUGCAUCCCAGGAAGGCCACCUGACCCUGGCCAGGAUCUCCCUGUGCUUGCCAGGUCCAGCACCACUGGUGCAGCCUCAUCCCAGAGUCUGCUGCCUGGGCAGGGGUCUUGCCGGGGCUGCUCAGGGAGGUUGGGACUGUGCGCCUGCCCCUGCCUGUCACCAGCUCUAUAGUUACAGGGGGCCAGCAACACCUUUAGGAGCAAGGACGGAGCCGAGUUCCUGGUGUAGAUGGUGACCUUCGGACUCAGGGGCCACCAGCUGCCCAUCACUCCUGUCUCACUCAGGUGGGACCGAGUCCUGCCAGGUGAUGAGGCGACUGGGCUGGCAGAGGACAGAGGGUGACUUCCAGGGGGUGGAAGCAGUGCCUACUGGGAGUAAGCUCUAUCACCAGGGGCCAGCCAAGCCGGGGCCCAGGGGCUAGGGCUAGAGGAGGGCCCAGGGCCAACCCCAGGAAGGUGAGGAGGCCUGGGCUGGUGGCAGACGGGCAGCCAGUGGCACAGGGACUUCAGUGCUGAGGGAUGCUGCAGAAUGGGGACGUAGGGUUCUGAGUUUGGGGAACGAAAAUUCCACAUGAGGCAAGUGUUUCACUGGGGUUCUAGGGAGAGGGCAGGUGAGGGGCCAGCUCCCAGGAAGAAGCAGCCUUGGGGGACCCGAGGUUUAGGGGUGGCACAUUUUGGGCACAGGUGCAUCCUCCC
rnacentral:lncRNA from 1 species